GCCAGCAUUAUUCUUAUUUCUUGCCUCUCCCGUUGCGCCCAUGCCUGUUCUGUCAGUUUCGUUUUAGGAAUUGAAUUGCAGGGGCUGAAGAAAAUGGGGCAACCCGUGCCUCAGACUCUCCUGCUUUUGGUGGCGGGUCUUUUGGGGGAGUCUUUGGGAGGCUUUCCCAACACCAUCAGCAUAGGUGGACUUUUCAUGAGAAAUACUGUUCAGGAGCAUAGUGCAUUUCGAUUUGCUGUGCAGUUAUACAACACAAACCAAAAUAUCACAGAAAAGCCCUUCCAUUUGAACUAUCAUGUAGACCAUUUGGACUCCUCCAACAGUUUUUCAGUGACUAAUGCUUUUUGUUCACAGUUUUCUAGAGGAGUUUAUGCCAUCUUUGGAUUCUAUGACCAGAUGUCCAUGAACACACUGACAUCAUUUUGUGGAGCUCUGCACACGUCCUUUGUCACACCCAGCUUCCCAACAGAUGCAGAUGUGCAGUUUGUCAUUCAGAUGCGGCCAGCGUUAAAAGGAGCCAUCCUGAGCCUUCUGACUCAUUACAAAUGGGAAAAGUUUGUAUACCUCUACGAUACAGAAAGAGGAUUUUCCAUUCUUCAGGCAAUUAUGGAAGCAGCAGUACAAAACAACUGGCAAGUGACAGCCAGGUCUGUGGGAAGUAUAAAGGACGUUCAGGAAUUGAGGAGAAUCAUAGAGGAAAUGGACAGACGGCAGGAAAAAAGAUACUUAAUCGACUGUGAAGUAGAGAGAAUAAACACAAUUUUGGAACAGGUUGUAAUCCUUGGUAAACAUUCCAGAGGUUAUCACUACAUGCUAGCUAACCUGGGUUUUACAGAUAUUAUGCUGGAGAGAGUAAUGCACGGAGGCGCCAAUGUUACUGGAUUCCAGAUUGUUAACAAUGAAAACCCAAUGGUUCAACAGUUUCUACAACGCUGGAUUAGACUGGAUGAAAGGGAGUUCCCUGAAGCCAAGAACUCUCCAUUAAAGUAUACGUCUGCACUGACCCAUGAUGCAAUCCUAGUCAUAGCAGAGGCUUUCCGCUACCUCCGAAGACAGCGUGUUGAUGUUUCCAGGAGAGGUAGUGCUGGAGACUGCCUAGCAAACCCUGCAGUGCCCUGGAGCCAAGGAAUCGAUAUAGAAAGAGCAUUGAAAAUGGUACAAGUCCAAGGAAUGACUGGAAAUAUUCAGUUUGACACCUACGGACGCAGAACAAAUUACACAAUUGAUGUGUAUGAAACGAAAGCCACUGGAUCACGGAAGGCUGGUUACUGGAAUGAAUAUGAAAGAUUUGUGCCAGCACUAGACCAGCAAGUGUCUAAUGACACUUCAUCUGUGGAGAAUAGAACAAUAGUAGUCACUACCAUCCUGGAAUCGCCAUAUGUAAUGUAUAAGAAAAACCAUGAACAACUAGAAGGGAAUGAGAGAUAUGAAGGAUAUUGUGUAGACUUAGCUUAUGAAAUAGCAAAACAUGUUGGAAUAAAAUACAAACUGUCAAUUGUUGGAGAUGGGAAAUACGGAGCUAGGGACCCUGAGUCUAAGAUAUGGAAUGGCAUGGUGGGUGAACUAGUCUAUGGGAGAGCAGAUAUAGCUGUUGCUCCACUCACUAUAACGUUGGUACGAGAAGAAGUCAUAGACUUUUCAAAACCUUUUAUGAGUCUGGGCAUCUCCAUCAUGAUCAAGAAGCCUCAGAAAUCUAAACCUGGCGUAUUUUCCUUUCUGGAUCCUUUGGCUUAUGAAAUUUGGAUGUGUAUAGUCUUUGCUUACAUUGGAGUCAGCGUAGUUCUUUUCCUAGUCAGCAGAUUCAGUCCUUAUGAAUGGCAUUUGGAAGACAACAAUGAAGAACCGCGUGACCCCCAGAACCCUCCUGACCCUCCAAAUGAGUUUGGAAUAUUUAACAGCCUUUGGUUUUCCCUGGGUGCCUUUAUGCAGCAAGGAUGCGAUAUUUCUCCAAGGUCUCUCUCAGGACGAAUUGUCGGAGGAGUCUGGUGGUUCUUCACCCUCAUCAUCAUCUCUUCUUACACUGCCAAUCUUGCUGCCUUCCUUACUGUGGAAAGGAUGGUCUCUCCUAUAGAAAGUGCAGAGGAUCUGGCGAAGCAAACUGAAAUAGCCUAUGGAACCUUGGAUUCAGGCUCAACCAAAGAAUUUUUUAGAAGAUCAAAAAUAGCAGUCUAUGAGAAAAUGUGGUCGUAUAUGAAGUCAGCAGAGCCAUCUGUAUUUACCAAAACAACAGCUGACGGGGUCGCUAGAGUGCGGAAGUCAAAGGGAAAGUUUGCCUUCCUCCUUGAAUCGACCAUGAACGAGUAUAUCGAGCAGCGAAAGCCAUGUGACACAAUGAAAGUUGGUGGGAACCUGGAUUCCAAAGGCUAUGGUGUAGCAACUCCAAAAGGCUCAGCAUUAAGGAGGAAAUAUUUGGGGAAAGAUAGAAGCUAUCGCAACAAGGAACAGAUGCAAGGUGUAUCAUGGAAUGAGAUAUGCAUGUGUCAUUGACUUAUGGUGCAAUAUGAUGGAGCUUACUCACUCAUGACAGCUUUUUCUACUAGCUAAGCUAAUGGAACAGCUCUAUUAGCUUACCGGGUAGAGGCCCAAGUUUUGGGGAAUAGGUGUCCUGAGUUUGUAAUCAGAUACUUCCUGCUGGUAUUUUAGUGUGUGUGUGUGUGUGUGUGUGUGUGUGUGUGUGUGUGUGUGUGUGUACUGUAUAUAGGCUUGAAUCAUUACAGAUUGAUGGUGCCGUGGUCUUAGACUGAGCUCCUCUGACUCCCUGAUAUUCUGUUUGUGCUCAAGAUAUGGGGUGAGUAUGUGACUCAUUUGCUUGUGUCUGUGCGCGCUGUUGCCCAUUACUGGACUACAAAGAACCUAAUCACCUAGAAAAAUGGGUUCCGUAGAUGCUUGUCUUCCUCCCCUUAGUUUGUCAAGUGCACUUUAAGGUCAGAUGGCUCUGAUUUUUAAUCAUGCCUCCUCUUGAUACUGUAUGUUCAUUGCCAUCAGACAAUUACAUUCUGAGACUAAAGGAACCCCAGUGAGCAAUAAAUCCUAUGAUUUUACAAGGAUUUUAAGUCUCACAGCUGAAAAAAAAAAAUUUCAAAUUGACUUGUCAUGGAGAUUUUCCUUCUAUUAGAUUCCACUAAACAAAUUGGUAUUAUAAGGUUUAUCAUUGUUACAUCCAAAAAUAGAUGUUCCCUUUUUAUUUUAAAACUGAAAAGAUUGAAUUUCUAUUGUGAAAUAAUUAUAGAGAGCCAGAUUCUAGCUAGUAUAAAUCUCCAUACCACCACUGAAGUCAGUUAACACCAGCUACAAUAAUUAACAUCAGCUAAAGAUCUGGUCCACAAAGUCUUGGAAGCUGCCAGUAUUUCACUGGGAAAGGUACUUAUCAAAUUCCAGCAGAGACUAUUUAUUCCAUGAGACUAAAGGGAGGUCUUGGCAUAUCCAUCUGUGAUUUCUGUACGAUAGUGUGCAUAUGCUUAUUUAAACACCGCUGACAUGCAUAUCAUAAUUCAUUCGCUUAUCUUUCUUAAAUGCAAAACAAUUAAUUGCACCCAUAGAGAUUCUUGGCAAAAUUGUACAGUAUAUUGUAUCCAGAUACUCUUAUCUGAGUGAGUUGACUUCUUAAUUGUUUGAAUCUGUAGUAGUACUUAGAAAAGCAUAUGCCAGGAAAUUUGUUACUGAAUAUUGUCAGUUUUAGGCCCAGUUAUUUUAUUAUACAAGCGUGUCCCCUCAAACCUGAGCGAUUACUGAGCAGGGAUUUAAUCAGAAAUAUGCAAGACAUUAUAUAAAUAAAGAUAGCAGGAUGAAUGGAUAAGUUUAAUUAAUUAGUUGUAUGAGAAGAAUUUUCUGUUAAGAUAUAUUUCUGUAAUUCUGGGGUUGAUACAUUUCUGGUCUUCCCUUACCUUGAUGGUAGCAUUUAAUGACGGCUAACUUAAAAGUAAAUUGUUUGUGUGUGUUUAGUCUUGAAGUGGAUUCCAUAUAUAGAGUCCUUGCUAAUUAUUUGACUGAAUUUCUUUAUCAACAAUAGUUUUUUUCAAAAAAGAUAGCCUAAAAAAAGACAUUGAAGUAACACAAGAUGCCCCGGUAUUUAAUUUCCCAGCCUUUUUUGUUAAUCAUAAAAUUUAAUUUGUAGGGUUCUAGCCAUAGAUGCUGGAAUUAGGGGUGCUGCCACACCACCUGGCUUGAAGUGGUUUCCAUUAUAUACGGGGUUUACAGUUUAGUUCAAUGGCUUUCAGCACCUCCACUAUAAAAAUUGUUCCAGCGCACCUGAGCUAAAUUCUGUCCUUGGAUCCAUGCAGCACAUAUUGUCUUCAGUGAGACAUAUUCAUGCACAUCUGAGAGCAGAAGUUGGCCUUAAGCAGAAUGAAUUUGUUCCCCCUGUUUCUCUGUAUCAGUUUGCUUGUGUAAGUUUACAGCAUACCAUUUUAUUCAUUUUUAAUACGGAUGUAUUUUUAGAAGAAAUCCGUUAUGAAUCAUUUUAGAUGCGAUUUGCUAUCUUCAGAACCCCAUUGGAAAACUUCUUAUGCUUUGCAGAAGACUCACUUUUCAAAUAUUCUCUUUAAAAAAAAAAAAAAACAUGCAACACAACUCAUUCAUGCAAUUUGCAUGAAAAUAGUGUUCACCAACAUGCAGUGACUUGCUCAUCCAGUGGCUGCUCUAAGCAUGGGCUAUGGGUUGGAAAGGAAGUAAAAUGACAGAACAGAGCCAAUCAUAACAGCACUGUGCUAAUUCACGCUCAUGACUAGGCGAGCAAUUGAAAAAUAUUGCAUUUUGCAAAUUAGUAAGCAGAAUAACAUUUUAAAAGGAAGGCAUCAAAAAUUGACUUUGUUCAUUUAUUUGACAAAGACUUUUCACACCAUACUAUUAAAUAAUGCUGUAGCAUAUUUUGUAACCAUAAUUAAGUCUUUUGUAAUAUGAGACUUCGUUACAGCAUUCCUCCACUUAUAUUAUCACAGAGGACCGAGAGCCUGCUUUAGUUUGUGUGAGAUUUAUAAAAUGCAGCCCGGCGAGGUUCUAUUAUAUAAGGAUCAUAAUUUAGGAAAUCAGUGAGAGAGUUUCUAAAAAAUGUAUUACACAGAUUGGAAAACAGCUAUUGGACUUAGGGAGUAGAUGGGGAAAAAAGACACUCCCUUCGGAAACAGUACGUCUACACUGGAAUAAAAGACCGGCAGCACAGCCACGGCUGUCCUGAGUCAGCUGACAGGGCUAUAAAUUGCACUGUAGAUGUUUGGGCUGAAGCCUAGCUCUGGGAGCCUCCCCCUCAUAGGGUCUCAGAGCUCAGGCUCCAGCCCAAGUCCGAACGUCUACGCAGCAAUUCUACAGCCCCACAGCCCGAGCCCUGCAAGCCCAAGUCAGCUGAGCCGGGCCAGUCGCAUGUAUUUAAUUGCUGUGUAGACGUACCCAAGUCUGCCACCCUUACUGAGUAGUAGAUUAGAGUGUAAACCUCUCUACUCAAUGGUAAAUGGGGCAGAAUAUUGUCAGUAAGCAGGACCCAAUGUCCUGUCAUUAAGGCUAAGAGAAAGCUGAAAAAAGUUUGUGAACAUCUUUUCACCAAUUCAUUCUGACAACAGUUUGUGGAUCUUUGUAUUUAUCUUCCAUGAAUAUUUGUAAGAGUUCAAUUUUCCUCAAAAAAUGUUUGAAGAAAGUGAAAGUCCGGUGAAUAUUUGCGUAAAUGUAUUUACACAAAAGUUUAUUCCAGAAAGGCUCACAUAGCCACCUUGGAAUCUCUUUGGAUUUCUCUACCCCUGGUUAUAAGAGUUUCAAUCUUCCCACCAGGGAACACAAAAAAAUGCCUGGUGACCUUCAGUGACUAAUCACACACCACAACUAAUAAAUAGCAAGUAUUUCACAAGCAACCUAUAUCUGGUCACACAGGGCCAGACUUUCAGAAUGACUCAGGAGCCAAAAUUGGGCCCAGAUUUCCAAAACAACGCGGCACCCAUGAACCUCCACCAAGAACAAUGGGUGUAGCGGAGUGAUGAGCACUUUGGAAAAUCUGAUCUCACUGGUGGGUCAUGAGCCCCUCUGAAAAUUAUGGCCAUGAAGGUUUUGUCUAACAGUUUUGAUAAUAACAAAAUAUUAACAAAAAUCAAAGCCCAUCCAGGGAUAAUUAUUGGCAUAGAAAAAUAAAAGGGACUAAAUGUUUUGAAGAAAUGAUUCACUCUGAAUCAUUCACCCAGCAAUAUCUGUCACUAAGGGCCAAGCUGAGACAAACCUUCUUGGGAUGGGAUGGGAAGGAGGAAUAAGACUGAAGGAAGGCUACUAGAAUUCACAAUUUCUAAAGGGAUUUCAUUAAAGGACAAUGAAAUCCAAGCAACUGAAUCCAUGUCCUUAAUGUACAGAAUACCUUAUUGGGUUUUUUUGGUGGUGAAGGAUGGGGGAGACAAAGCUUUGAUAUUUUUAUCUAACACAGCUAGUUUCAUUUAAAAGGAAAGAGAAAAAACUCGGGAAAAAUGCAUUUUUUAAAGAAACCUCUCUUGUUUUGUGCUUCAAAGCAACCCUAAGGUUUCAGCAAUAGAAGUUCAUAUUGCAGGCAGAUGCCUACAUUCAUUCAGGUAGGUUCUCGGUGAUGUGUCUCUGUCCCUGUCUACUGCUGUAAUAAAGUUUUUGGGAAGCUAUGGCUUUAUAUAGCCAACCAAGCUAUCCCAGAAUGACCUGAGCAAGCCUUCAAAGGAGGCAGCAGCAAACUGAAGCUUGUAGAUGAUCCAGAAAGCAGGAGCCUCCAGUGAAGCCUUUACAAGAGAAAAAAAUCUGAAGGUGGCAAGGAAUAUGUAUAUAAAAGCAAGAGAGAGAGAGAGAGAGAAUGAGGAUGCUGGCUAACAUACAAGGUAAGUGAAGGCCCUUGCACAUGUCCAUUCACAGCUACAUCAAUGUAGGUUAGAAAAGGUCAAGGAACAGUGGUGUGGUAAUCCCCAUAGACAGCAACCAUGUUGCUGUGUAAGGUGUCCUAGGAAAGGAUUGUAAUAUCAAGCUUCCAGCCUUCCUUGUACUGCUUCUCCACAGCAUUCCUGGGGUGAGAUUUGGGAAAUUUCACUAAACCCCAAAUCUCUCUUUUGGUUGUUCUUGCCACAUCGGUAUCUCAGUCUCAGGCCUUGUUACAAAUGAACUAAAAUGACUUGUAACAGCUUUCAUUUCCUAAUCCAAUAUGCAUGCAUUAUUGCAUUAGCACUUUGCACUUAUAUUAAAUUAUGAUCCUGCUAGUGUAGUUUAAUGUGUUUGAGCUACAUUAAUGAAACAUAAAUAAACUUUCAUAGAGCCUGAUGCCGGCAUCAGACACAGACUGCAAACUUCCAUAAGAGAAGAGAGAGAGAAGCCUGCAGCAUCAGAUGGUCACAAAUCUGGCUCUAUGGAAAAGACAAGACAAGUGCUCUGAGCCUGAGCAAUGUUGCUGGGGUUUUCUAUAUUCUUGUUGGAGGUCUUGGUCUCGCCAU